rnacentral:lncRNA from 1 species
GCAUCAAUGGACCCAUUUAUAUCUCAAUGAAUGGAGACCUGAGGACUUGGACUACAGCUGGCAGAACAGCUGAAAGACUCAGACAACUGUGGGAGGGGUUAGAUUACGCACAAAAUGUGAAGACUUACCUGGAGUUUGAAUGUCAGAAGUCAUUCCUCUCAUAGCUGGACUAUGGGAAGGAAAUUUUGCUUAGAAGAGGUAAAGAAAAGAAAAUGUUCCAUGUUCUGUGAGAAUGGAGCUCCUGUCCUCUGAGAAUUAGACCUAAAGGGCUAAGCCUUCACUCAGGACAUGGAGGGGGUAGAGACCAGGCCUGCAAGAGAUGGAACCUUCCCAAUAUAGGUAGUGUAGUAAUGCCCUGGGGAAGAGCAGAGAUACAGAUGUCAUGUGAAUCAUGAAGGGCUGCCUGAGUCCAUCACAUCAAGAUGGGGU